UUUUCCAACUCUAGACCUCCAUUUGAGGGAAAGUCCUGAACUGUUCCAGGCUUCUUUCCCCAGUCACAGCAGUGCCUCACCCCUUCCAGACCUCCUACAGCUUUGAAAAGGCCUACCAAAGCAUCUGUAAUGUCCACCUCCAUUUCCUGCAGCGGGUCUGGAUAACUAAAAGGGGCCUUAGAAGCCAUCACGUCCAGGCACCCUGUGUGCCACAGAAGGAAAAAGUGGCCCGGAAAGGCUAAGUGACUGACCCAUGCUCACACAGGUGGCAGGCAUUGUGCUGAUGCUGGGGAUAUAUGUGAUGGAGAGCAAGAUAAAGGAGAUUCCUGUGUGCUUGGGACUGAAAGUUUAGCAUUGAAGAAGACAGUCGAGAAAUAAUCCCCUAAGCACUUACAUCCUUAUCAUGUGCUCUAAAAUAAAAACUAACAAGAUCAAAGGUUUGGAUUUGCAACAGCUGUAAACUGUCCAGUGGGACAGAGGGAAAUAGAAUACCUUUUCACAAAGAGCUUCACGACCUGAGGCAUCAAGAGGAAACUGGCCUCCGAGACUGUUGUACACAGUUGCUGAGACCUUUGGCUUCCAAGGAUCAUCUGGCCAACACCCACCUAACCUUGAUCAGUGGGCACCAGGGCAACUGGUCUGGAAGAGGUUUGGCUCUGGCUCAGUCCAUCCUGCCUGCCAGAAAGCUGGCCCUGGAAGCUGAUUCUCACUAUGGGGACAGAGAAGCCCAAACACGUGGCAGUGUUUGAAACAGAAGAAGGGGCUACUAAUGGAGACUUUAAAAGAUCCUAAGCGUUUAUUUGUUUGAAUUAAAUAUGGACCAAGGAGAUGGGGACAAG
rnacentral:lncRNA from 1 species